AGGGGUGGAAGACAGCAUCCUGAACCGAAAGAUACUAAAACCCACCACCCUUCCCAAAAGAAGUUUCUGAGUUCAGUCGCUACCUAGAUAUUGGUGUCAUUUCUUCAUCACAUGUGCCAUAGUUAGAAGCAGUCACAGUUGUGUCCACUGCCACUCUAGGUGUGUAACAUUUGGCAGGAAGAGAAUGCAUUUGCUCGAACCUGACUCCCAGUUGCCAGCUAACUUAGAUAAAGUCCUCCUCUCAGGGCCAUCUCUCCACUGAUGACCUUUGUGGCAGUCCGGAUCUGCUUUCCUGCUCUGAGAACUUCCAGUUAAAUCCCCCUUAUCACUGGCAAAACUUGACCCCCAGCACACAAAGCAUGUUAUGGUACAGGGGGAAUGGAACUUUCUGACUUUAAAGUUAAUUUGGCUUUGCUUACCUUUGAAAUGAGCAUUUGUGUUUUGAAACUGUUUAUGAGAAGUUCUCUGAGCACUGACCUGCAAACACAGAUACCAAGAAAUCCAGGGCCAGCGUGUCUGAAUAACUAGGAUAAAGACAAUUGAGUUGAAUAAUAAUAAAAUCUGGCACCUAUCCCUUGAGCUUUUAAAUUCUCCAAUUGCAAUUCUUCCUUGUCCUGGGCCGUCGGUCCAGGGAAAAGAGCACAGGCUUUUGAAACGAACGUUUGUCAUAAAGAAAUGAUUUCAGCCUCCACCUGCUGUUUACCACCUUUGAGAACUUAGGUAGGCUGUUUCGGUCAUGAAACUGAGCUUUGUCUCUGGCAGAUGCAAAAAGGAACAACCUUUACUGCACAGUGCUUUUGAGAGACUAGAUGCAGUAAUAAGAGUUUUCUAAGUGUUUACAAGAAUUUUAUUUUUUUCCAAAUUUUAAAGAGAAAGAAACUGAAGUCCAGAAAGGUUAAGUAACUUGUCCAAGGUACAGGUAACCCAGCUGGUAAAUAUCAUAUUCUAGAAUUUAGAUCAGAAUAGGUGAUUGAGAAAUGCCUGUGAAAAUCAGAUUAACAUCAUGUUACUAUGACCGUACCUCCCUCAGAAAUUUGCCUUUUGGGCUAAAAGAACCAUGGUGCUCCUUGAUAUCUUCACAAACUGUUUCGGGCUCAAUUUUUUUCUAUAGGACACUUUGGAGAUACAAGGAAGAAUGAGUUCCUGUCGCCUUUGUUCUGUGAUCCUUAUAAUACAAAAGUGACAGCAGAAUUAAUCCAGAACUAUAGAUAUUAAUUCAGGAAAGCAUCAGUAAACGUAGUCCUUAGGAUAGUGUUUUGCAAAUAGUAUGUGUUCAACAAAUAUAUGUUGAUCUGGUGAUUAGAAGAAUUCACCAAUAGUUUGGUGGAUGGCCAGGAAGUCCUGGAAAAAGAUACAUUUCAUAUUGCACUCUCUUAUUCUGGGGGAAAAUAGCCAAGCAUGGAUUUUUGACAGCAGAGCGAGAGUCAAUAGGACAAUCUAAGAACUACAAAUCAAAACGGUGUUUUGGCUAACAGGGCAGGUUCUAGACACUUGCCAUGGUACCAGAUGAUGUUUAUUCCAACCAGAAGGUGGUUAUAAGGCAUCUCUUGAAUUAAGUGUUUCUUAUUACUUGGAUAUUAGGUCAGAUUCUGCUAGAAUAAAGUCAUGAUCACUCUGCUUUCCAAAUGUAUUUGUUUUCACUUUCAAAAGCACACCUACAUCUUUAUACACUGCCUUUUUGACUUGAUCCCAGAACCAUAAGAAAUAAAAAUAUCCAUGAUCUUUAAGGGGUAGAGCUGGAGGCUCAUACAUCUUGCCUACACCUGGCAAAGUUACUGACACGUAAAGAGUCCGUAACAAAUGACAAUUUAUAGAUAGCAUGGAGUGUUUACCGUGUAGCAGACACCGCUCCGAGCACUCAUAUACAUUGGCACAUUUCUUAAGAGUUCAGCAUAAUUGUGAUGGGUGCGUCACUCGCUAACAGAGUGACCCUGGGCAGGUUACUGAAGCAUUUUGUCCUCAGUUUCAUCAUCUAUAAUGUGGGAGUCAUAACUGAGACAAUUCCAUAAGGCUGUGGUGCAGAUCAUCUGAGUUAGUAUCUAUCAUGCCUUUGGAGCAGUGCUGCAUACGCGACUGCUCAGUAAGCACCAGCUUGUGCUUGCAUUUAUCCUAAGAUCACCUCUCAAGUCAUUGUGGGAAUCAAGAUUUGAACUCAGCCUGCCUGGCUCAAGAACCUGUGACUCCAAUCACUAUUUAUUUUGAAUGAGUUACCAAGCUGCAGAGGCUGGUGGUGCCACUGCACGCAGGUAGAAGCCAACAUCUCCAUGGGAGCAGAUUAUUGGUAAAGGAUUGUAUUCUUCAACCCAUGCAGAGAAAAAUGAAUGGACCGAGCAGAACAAUAAUAAUAAGUGACAUUUGAAGAGCACUUUCCGGUUGACAAAGCCCUUUCACAUCCAUUGUCUUGCUUGACCAUUGGAGCAACUCUGUGAUGUAGGUUGUUAUUUCCGGUUUUGAAGAUGAGGUAACCUGAGCACAGGGAUGGCACGUGACUUGUCCACAUUCGAAGGGUGGGCAAAUCCUGGAGCCCAGGCUUACACUGGAAUCCCCUGAUUCCAGAUCCCAGGUCCCUUCCUUAAGAAAAUAUUUGACCCAGUACACUGAUGGAACUUUGUCCCUGGCCUCAGAAAAAUUAGCUCAUGGUAUUUUCCAGUGUAGAGUUUGAUCUACUUAGAAAAGUGAGUUUGAAUCUUCCUGAAGGCAGAGGCAUGGAUAGGAUGACCCAGACCUCAACUGAAGCCAGGGAGCUUUGUGAUUCCCUUCCAGGAUUUUAUGAAAGAAAUAAAAUCAUUCAUUUAAAAUGCUUGCUGCCAGAAAUGUCAGAGAAGCUGUAAAGGGCCAUUUAUUUGGGACCUUCCAACCAUGUGUUAUGGUAGAAAAUAUGAGAGAAGGAAUAGGCCAUUAGGAAAAUUAUUUUAUUCACUUCAUGUGCUAUUGUCUUGUUCGGAUAAUAUUUUAUUUGAAAACUUGUGUUCAUAGCACUCUUCCACAUAAAACCCUGCUCUCUGGGUCCUCCCCACCUCAUGCUGCUUUCUCUCACAUGUAUAGAGAUUGUUUUUCGUUUUGAACCCAAUUGCUUCCUCUUUGAUCCCAUAGAAAAUCACCCUUCUGGGCGUGUGGUGUAAUGACUUCCACGGCAAUGGGCUGAAGUUGCAGGUAACCCAUUAUGUGAGUACCAGUACGCCAGGCUGCGCAGAGAGACCGGAGCUGGGAGUUCUUUUAAAAACUGCUGUCCUUGAUAAUAGCAGGACAGAGGUAGAAAAUUACUGGCAUUAUAAAUUGCUUUUCCGAUAAAGGUUCGACUCUGUGUUUUAAAAAGCUGUGCCACACAGAGAAAAAUCUCUGCAUUUUUAAUUGUAGAUAAUUUUGUGUAAGAAAAACUUCCCCAGGAAAAUGGUCUCAUGAAAUAUGCUUUGUUUGACUUUGGCAAAGCUCCAUGUCAUUCUAAAUGAGUGCAUAAAAACAGACACAAACAAUAUUUGCUAUUACCUAAAAGCGUAAGAGAUAAUUUACAUCAAAAGCAAAGGAGGAGACUGAGAAUUGGAGGUUGGCCCCUGCAGAGCUCCCCCUUUCACACUCAUAUAGGAAAGAGCAGGAAUAAAGGAAGUGUGGUGUACUGCCACCCAGCGGUGAGUCAGGGAAGAUGGAAGACUACCAUGGCCCCUCGGUGUCCAGAGGAGCCCCACCUAGAUGAACAAAAAAAAAAACCAGGGCAAGAAGAAGCAAGACCCAGUCUUGCUAAAGGAGAAGACAUGUUCCAAAGUUUAUGCUUUACUCAAAGAAUGCCAUCUUAGAAUUUGUUUAUGCUUAUCUCAGGCAUAAUUCUAACAUGCAUAACCUUCAAACCACACGAGCACAUUGGAAUCAAGUAGAAUGGAGAGAAGAAAGGCAGCCACUUGUGUAUAGACUUCUCUGUGUAAGCAGGAAGGUGCUCCCCGUAGGGGACAAUGGUGGACUCCUUAGAGCUGCGAUCCAAGUGUCUCUGUGCCUUUUGCUAGCUGGGAAACUUGGUCAAGUCAUAUGACCUCACUGUACUUCAUUUUCCUCAUCUGAAAAAUUAGCAUGAUCAUUACACCACCUACCUCAUAGAAGUGUUUUGGAGGAUUAAAGGAAAAAUUCGUAGAAAUAGGGCAGUUCCUGAUGCUUAGAAGGCAUUCAGUGUCAGGCAUGAGCAUUUUAGAAAUGUAGAAGCUCAAAUCUAUUAAGAACUAAAUCCUGGUUGUUAUUUAAAUUAUUCAUUUGUUCAUUCAAUUCACAUUUAUUAAGCAUAUAUAUGAGCCAGGCAACGAAUGGCCACUAUGUAAAUAAAUGUAAAUAAGCUACAACCAUUCCCAUCUAGGAACUCAGACUGCAAGCAAAAUGCACAGCAGUGGUGGGAAGUGCUGGAGGGGCAUUUCUGUGGGAACACAGACCCUUUCCCUGGAGAAGUCAGGAUGGCUUCCUAGGAGGGACAUUCAAGGGGGUGCAUGGGAAGUGAGAAGCAGGGAGGGCAUUCCAGAGGAGGAUGCGACAUGUUUAAACAAAGACUCAGAUGGAGGGAGAGCUGGUGAUUUUGCUCCUCAGGUGUAAAGGUGGGUGAGAGGGGAGUUGAGGCUGAAGAGGUGGGUGGGGCCCACGCUGGAAGGGCCUUGCCUGUGCAGCUACAUCCUUAGUUUGCUCGAACCUAACUUCUAAGUGCUAAGAAGUUCAAACUUCUUUAGUACUAAAUAUAUUUAUUUUUCCCCACGCAAAAUCUCAUGGAAACUGCAGCAUAUGAAAAAAAUUAAAGCAGCAUUUCAUUAAGAGACAUUUAGUUUGUAAGUUCAAAUUUAUGACAGUUACAGAAUGAAUCAAUAGGAUUAUAAAGAGGUAUUUAUUAAUGAAGCAAUUUGGGGAUAUGUGUGACAAACUCAACUUCAUAUAUUAUAUAAUUUUAAUUGUAUACUUUUAAGAAUAUUCUGAUUCACUCUGAGAACUAGUUGCAAAAAGUAGCCUCUUUUAAAAAUAACUCAGUUUGCAAUCUCUAGAUACCCUUAACUGACCUGGAAGUUUAAAAGGGCAGCAGUAAAGCAUUUUUCCUUUAAAUUUAAAUUAUUAUCUAUUAGCAUCUUACAUUGCUUAUCAUAAGUAUCAAAGUCAGAUGAAAAGCACCAUAAUCUUAAAACCAUUACAUGUCAUUAUUGAUAUGUGGCCUGGUUCCUGUCAAUGUGUCAUAGUCUGGCUGUUAGCUAGGAUGAGACCGUGUACUGAGAUAUUACACUCGAGCCUUACCCAGCCUGUGAGUGAGGAAGGUGUCUUAGUCUCUUCAUGCUGCUUUGACAAAAUACCUUGAGAUUGGGUAAUUUUCACAGUUUUGGAGCCUCAGAAGUCCAAGAUCAACGCGCCAGCAGGUUCAGUGUCUGGUGAGGGCUCUGUCACUGCAUCUAAGAUGAUGCCUUGUUACUGUGUCCUCUGGAGGGAACAAAUACUGUGUCCUCACAUGGUGGAAGGUGAAAGGGUUU